rnacentral:rRNA from 1 species
CACGUAGUUAGCCGGGGCUUCUUAGUCAGGUACCGUCAUUCUCUUCCCUGCUGAUAGAGCUUUAUAUACCGAAAUACUUCUUCACUCACGCGGCGUUGCUGCAUCAGGGUUUCCCCCAUUGUGCAAUAUUCCCCACUGCUGCCUCCCGUAGGAGUUUGGGCCGUGUCUCAGUCCCAAUGUGGCCGGCCACCCUCUCAGGUCGGCUACUGAUCGUCGCCUUGGUGGGCCGUUACCCCGCAACCAGCUAAUCAGACGCGGGCCCAUCUCAUACCACCUCGGUUUUUCACACUGGACCAUGCAGUCCCGUGCGCUUAUGCGGUAUUAGCAGUCAUUUCUAACUGUUAUCCCCCUGUAUGAGGCAGGUUACCCACGCGUUACUCACCCGUCCGCCGCUAAGUCAAUAUGGCUUCAUUCCGAAAAAUUUCACCUUAUCGCUUCGCUCGACUUGCAUGUGUAAGCACGCCGCCAGCGUUCAUCCUGCGCCAGGAUCAAACUCUCG